UGAGAAUUGUGGAUAAAGAGAUAUCUGACAGAGUCACGCGGAAGACGCCGAAUCAGCCCGCUGCAGACAGGCAGGUCUGUGCACGCCCUACCGAGGUCCUGAGUCACGAGGAAGACACCGAAUCACCCCACUGCAGACAGGCAGCCACCUGAUUCCACAUUACCAAGGCGCAGAGGACACCAGACCACCAGACCAAGGUCACAGUAUUCUAAGAAAUCGAACAGUGUGCCACCCUCCCCAGUGUGGGUACAGACUCAGGUGUAGACAG
ensembl:lncRNA